GAUGAAGAACGCAGCGAAAUGCGAUAAGUAAUGUGAAUUGCAGAAUUCAGUGAAUCAUCGAAUCUUUGAACGCACAUUGCGCCCCCUGGUAUUCCGGGGGGCAUGCCUGUUCGAGCGUCAUUUCACCACUCAAGCCUCGCUUGGUAUUGGGCAACGCGGUCCGCCGCGUGCCUCAAAUCGACCGGCUGGGUCUUCUGUCCCCUAAGCGUUGUGGAAACUAUUCGCUAAAGGGUGUUCGGGAGGCUACGCCGUAAAACAACCCCAUUUCUAAGGUUGACCUCGGAUCAGGUAGGGAUACCCGCUGAACUUAAGCAUAUCAAUAAGCGGAGG
rnacentral:misc_RNA from 1 species